rnacentral:misc_RNA from 1 species
GAUGAAGAACGUAGUGAAAUGCGAUAAGUAGUGUGAAUUGCAGAAUUACCUGAAUCAUCGAAUCUUUGAACGCACCUUGCGCUCCUUGGUAUUCCGAGGAGCAUGCCUGUUUGAGUGUCAUUAAAUUCUCAACCUUUCCAGCUUUUGCGAGUUUGGAUUGGCUUGGAUGUGGAGGUUUGCAGGCUUCUCAGAAGUCAGCUCCUCUUAAAUGCAUUAGCGGAACCUUUGUGGACCAGCUUUGGUGUGAUAAUUAUCUAUGCCAUGGUUGUGAAGCAGUUUUUAUAUGGGGUUCAGCUUCUAACAGUCCAUUGACUUGGACAAUUUCUGACAUUUUGACCUCAAAUCAGGUAGGACUACCCGCUGAACUUAAGCAUAUCAAUAAGCGGAGGA